rnacentral:rRNA from 1 species
UACGGGGGGAGCAAGCGUUGUUCGGAUUUACUGGGCGUAAAGAGCGUGUAGGCGGCCAGACAGGUCCGUUGUGAAAACUCGAGGCUCAACCUCGAGACGUCGAUGGAAACCAUCUGGCUAGAGUCCGGAAGAGGAGAGUGGAAUUCCUGGUGUAGCGGUGAAAUGCGUAGAGAUGUGGAGGAACACCGAUGGCGAAGGCAGCCCCUGGGCUAACACUGGACGCUCAGGCACGAAAGACGUGGGGAGCAA